AUGUCCAAAGAAAAGUCCUUCGACACCAAAAAGUUCUUGAUCGAUCUCGCCUCAGGAGGUACCGCUGCUGCCGUCUCCAAGACCGCUGUUGCCCCAAUUGAGCGUGUCAAGCUUCUCCUCCAGGUCCAAGAUGCUUCCAAGGCUAUCGCCGUUGACAAGCGUUACAAGGGAAUCAUGGAUGUUCUCAUCCGUGUCCCAAAGGAGCAAGGAGUUGCUGCCCUCUGGAGAGGAAACCUCGCUAACGUCAUCCGGUACUUCCCAACUCAGGCCAUGAACUUCGCCUUCAAGGACACAUACAAGGCAAUCUUCCUUGAGGGACUCGACAAAAAGAAGGACUUCUGGAAGUUCUUCGCAGGAAACUUGGCUUCCGGAGGAGCUGCUGGAGCCACCUCCCUCUGCUUCGUCUACCCACUCGACUUUGCCCGUACCCGUCUUGCUGCUGAUAUUGGAAAGGAAUUAUCAUCUACCGUGCCGCAUACUUCGGAAUGUUCGAUACCGCCAAGAUGGUCUUCGCUUCUGAUGGACAGAAACUCAACUUCUUCGCCGCUUGGGGAAUUGCUCAAGUUGUCACAGUCGGAUCUGGAAUCCUUUCCUACCCAUGGGACACUGUUCGUCGUCGUAUGAUGAUGCAGUCUGGACGCAAGGAUAUCCUCUACAAAAACACCCUCGAUUGCGCAAAGAAGAUCAUCCAAAACGAAGGAAUGUCCGCUAUGUUCAAGGGAGCCCUCUCCAACGUCUUCCGUGGAACCGGAGGAGCCCUCGUCUUGGCCAUCUACGACGAAAUCCAGAAGUUCCUUUAA
rnacentral:misc_RNA from 1 species